AGAUUGAAUGCUAGCGGGAUGCUUUACACAUGCAAGUCGAACGGCAGCGCGGACUUCGGUCUGGCGGCGAGUGGCGAACGGGUGAGUAAUAUAUCGGAACGUGCCCAGUAGCGGGGGAUAACUACGCGAAAGCGUGGCUAAUACCGCAUACGCCCUACGGGGGAAAGUGGGGGAUCUUCGGACCUCACGCUAUCAGAUGAGCCUAGGUCGGACUAGCUAGUUGGUAGGUAAAGGCCUACCAAGGCUACGAUCCGUAACUGGUCUGAGAGGAUGAUCAGUCACACUGGAACUGAGACACGGUCCAGACUCCUACGGGAGCAGCAGUGGGAAUA
rnacentral:rRNA from 1 species